rnacentral:rRNA from 1 species
AGUGAACGCUGGCGGUAGGCCUAACACAUGCAAGUCGAACGGCAGCACAGUAAGAGCUUGCUCUUACGGGUGGCGAGUGGCGGACGGGUGAGGAAUACAUCGGAAUCUACUUUUUCGUGGGGGAUAACGUAGGGAAACUUACGCUAAUACCGCAGACGACCUACGGGUGAAAGCAGGGGAUCUUCGGACCUUGCGCGAUUGAAUGAGCCGAUGUCGGAUUAGUUAGUUGGCGGGGUAAAGGCCCACCAAGGCGACGAUCCGUAGCUGGUCUGAGAGGAUGAUCAGCCACACUGGAACUGAGACACGGUCCAGACUCCUACGGGAGGCAGCAGUGGGGAAUAUUGGACAAUGGGCGCAAGCCUGAUCCAGCCAUCCCGCGUGGGUGAAGAAGGCCUUCGGGUUGUAAAGCCCUUUUUUUGGGAAAGAAAAGCAGCAGGUUAAUACCCCGCUGUUCUGACGGUACCCAAAGAAUAAGCACCGGCUAACUUCGUG